rnacentral:rRNA from 1 species
GGACGAACGCUGGCGGCGUGCCUAAUACAUGCAAGUCGAACGGUCUUUCUAUGGAAGCUUGCUUCCACUGAGAAGAUAGUGGCGAACGGGUGAGUAACACGUGGGUAACCUGCCCAUAAGAGGGGGAUAACAUCCGGAAACGGGUGCUAAUACCGCAUAGUUUUCUUGAUCGCAUGAUCGGGAAAGGAAAGACGGCCUUUGUGCUGUCGCUUAUGGAUGGACCCGCGGCGUAUUAGUUAGUUGGUGAGGUAACGGCUCACCAAGACGAUGAUACGUAGCCGACCUGAGAGGGUGAUCGGCCACAUUGGGACUGAGACACGGCCCAAACUCCUACGGGAGGCAGCAGUAGGGAAUCUUCCGCAAUGGACGAAAGUCUGACGGAGCAACGCCGCGUGAGUGAAGAAAGGUUUUCGGAUCGUAAAACUCUGUUGUCAGAGAAGAACAAGUUGGAGAGUAACUGCUCCAGCCUUGACGGUAUCUGACCAGAAAGCCACGGCUAACUACGUGCCAGCAGCCGC